UUUGGAAAGUGCAAAUCAAAACAAAAACAAUAACAUUGUGUGUUUUUUAUAAAGUUUUAAACAAAAAUGGUCUUAUAUUGUUGCGUUAGUUGCUGCAAACGCAACUCUAGAGACGACAAGGAAUGUUCGUUUUUUGGGCUGCCAAAUGAUCCAGAAAUUGGACUCGAUUUGCUGUGGGAGUCAAUGGAGAUCUGAAAAUGAGUUCUAGGAUCUGCUCCGGUCAUUUUGACAAAAAAGUGCAUUUUGAAGACAUAUCCGAGAGUGCUGCUGCUUAAAAAUCCGAUUUCAAUAAUCCUAGAAAGCAAAAGAAAUGCCACAAAGCCUGCAGAAGGAGAGAAGGGCGAAGCCCACGUCAAUGCAUUGAAACGGCCAUGCUGAGCGAGAAGCAGCUGUGAGAAAAUCUGAAGAAAACGGCUGUCUGCCGCUGGGAAAUAUGACGG